UCCUCCUCCUCCUUUUUCUCCUCCUCCUUCUCCUCCUUCUCCUCCUUCUUCUUCUUUAUUGUUGUGUGUGCAUGCAUGUUCAUGAUGUUCAUGUGUGUGUGGGGGGGGGGGUCAUUCUGUAAGUACAGUGUGUCAUCUGCCUUUCCAGGUCCUGGCUGGGCGGAGAGCCCCAAGAUCCGUCUCUCUCUGUUCCCCGAGGGCUGGGAUUACAGGAGCUCGCCACCAUGCUUGGCGUUCCUUCCUUUGAUGGUUUGUAAACCUGAGUUCUGGCGAUUGAACUGGGGCUUUUAUGUUCACAAGGCGAACACGUUACCAACUGAGCUACCCCUCCAGCUCUCAAGAGUUUCUAGAAGAGUCUACUCUAUGGAAGCUAGUCAUUAAGAUAAAAAUUCGUUAUUGGCAACACAGACAAGGCUGACUGUUUGGUAUGGGAUAACCAAUUGGUGUGCUCCUCCCUGGGGAAGACUCUUCUCCUGCUCCCAGAGUUCCUUAGUCACCUGUAGCAAUGGCACUUUUUAAAAAGAAUCUCUGCUCUUCUAAAAGGUCCAUCAAGUCCCUCCUGGUAACAGUAUCCCAGGUGUCCUUUCAUUCAACAAACAUUGAUUGGACUCUCCAUGUCAGGAGCUGUUGUGGGUACCUGAAUCGACGGCUAUGGAGAAAAGCAAUCUGGAGGAUGAGAUAGUCAACAGGUUCUUAGUUGCUCAGAAUGGUCUUGAACUCAUCUCCUAACUCAAGCAGGCCUUGAACAUGCGGAGAUUCCAGACCUGCACCACGAGCACCAGAAAUGAGGAAGGCAGCAUUAAAGGAGACCGAAGGAAGAAAAGAGGAGCCUCCAGGGAUUCUAAGCCACCUGAGUGACGCCGUCACUUCUGUUUGAAUCUAGUCUCCACAGAACCGGGAGAUGGGAAAGUCAAGUCCCUUUGAAGAAGCUAUAAGGAAAUACAGCACCAGUCACCCCCUGAUUAAUGGGAGUGAAGGCAGAUUGUCCCCUACAGCCUCACGAUCCCAAGCUACAGCGAAAUUUUUAUUUCUUUAUUUCUUUCUU